ACGCUCGACACCUACGGGAGGCAGCAGUGGGGAAUAUUGCACAAUGGGGGAAACCCUGAUGCAGCGACGCCGCGUGAAGGAAGAAGUAUUUCGGUAUGUAAACUUCUAUCAGCAGGGAAGAAGAUGACGGUACCUGAGUAAGAAGCACCGGCUAAAUACGUGCUAGCAGCCGCGGUAAUCUGAGCGGGCUGGCAAGGC
rnacentral:rRNA from 1 species